rnacentral:SRP_RNA from 1 species
GCCAGACAUGGCAGUGCACAUUUGUAAUCCCAGCUACCUAGGAGACUGAGGCUGGUUGAUCUGAGCUCAGGAGUUCUGAGCUGCAGUAAGCUAAGCAGAGUGGGUGUCUAUACUAAGUACAGUAUUAAAAUGGUGACCUCUUUGCCUAAGGAGGGGAACACCAACUAAGACUGAAAAUAGAGGAGGUCAAAGCUCCCAUGCUGAUCAGUAGUGGGAUUGGGUCCUUGAGUAGCUCCAGCACUUACCACCUGGAUGAGAUAGGGAGACCAAAUCUU